AUUUUAAUAGCUUAUUAAGAGCAUAAUAUUGAAGAUAUAAAGGACAUUUUAGAUCUUAAAAUA
rnacentral:tRNA from 1 species